AGUGAACGCUGGCGGUAGGCCUAACACAUGCAAGUCGAACGGCAGCACAGUAAGAGCUUGCUCUUACGGGUGGCGAGUGGCGGACGGGUGAGGAAUACAUCGGCAUCUACUUUUUCGUGGGGGAUAACGUAGGGAAACUUACGCUAAUACCGCAUACGACCUACGGGUGAAAGCAGGGGAGCUUCGGACCUUGCGCGAUUGAAUGAGCCGAUGUCGGAUUAGCUAGUUGGCGGGGUAAAGGCCCACCAAGGCGACGAUCCGUAGCUGGUCUGAGAGGAUGAUCAGCCACACUGGAACUGAGACACGGUCCAGACUCCUACGGGAGGCAGCAGUGGGGAAUAUUGGACAAUGGGCGCAAGCCUGAUCCAGCCAUACCGCGUGGGUGAAGAAGGCCUUCGGGUUGUAAAGCCCUUUUGUUGGGAAAGAAAAGCAGCAGGUUAAUACCCCGCUGCUCUGACGGUACCUAAAGAAUAAGCACCGGCUAACUUCGUG
rnacentral:rRNA from 1 species